rnacentral:rRNA from 1 species
UCGGGAAUUUUGGGCAAUGGGCGCAAGCCUGACCCAGCAACGCCGCGUGAAGGAUGAAGGCCCUCGGGUCGUAAACUUCUGUCGGAAGGGAAGAAGGGCUUGAUUUCAAAUAGGCUUCAAGUCUGACGGUACCUUCAAAGGAAGCGCCGGCUAACUCCGUGCCAGCAGCCGCGGUAAUACGGAGGGCGCAAGCGUUGUUCGGAAUCACUGGGCGUAAAGCGCGUGUAGGCGGCACGGCAAGUUGGUUGUGAAAUCCCGGGGCUCAACCCCGGAACUGCAACCAAAACUGCCGAGCUUGAGUCUCGGAGAGGGUGGCGGAAUUUCCGGUGUAGAGGUGAAAUUCGUAGAUAUCGGAAGGAACACCAGUGGCGAAGGCGGCCACCUGGACGAUGACUGACGCUGAGACGCGAAAGCGUGGGUAGCAAACAGGAUUAGAUACCCCCGUAGUCC